GACCCUGUAGCGUAGUUGCUAUGGAGCGUUGCACCGGAAUCGCAGGGUCGCAGGUUCGAUUCCUGCCAGGGACC